AGCGAACGCUGGCGGCAGGCUUAACAUAUGCAAGUCGAGCGGGCACUUUCGGGUGUCAGCGGCGGACGGGUGAGUAACGCGUGGGAACGUGCCCUCUGGUUCGGAAUAACUCAGGGAAACUUGAGCUAAUACCGGAUACGCCCUUUUGGGGAAAGGCUUGCUGCCGGAGGAUCGGCCCGCGUCUGAUUAGCUAGUUGGUGAGGUAACGGCUCACCAAGGCGACGAUCAGUAGCUGGUCUGAGAGGAUGAUCAGCCACACUGGGACUGAGACACGGCCCAGACUCCUGCGGGAGGCAGCAGUGGGGAAUAUUGGACAAUGGGCGCAAGCCUGAUCCAGCCAUGCCGCGUGAGUGAUGAAGGCCUUAGGGUUGUAAAGCUCUUUUAUCCGGGACGAUAAUGACGGUACCGGAGGAAUAAGCCCCGGCUAACUUCGUG
rnacentral:rRNA from 1 species